rnacentral:rRNA from 1 species
GAUGAACGCUGGCGGCGUGCCUAAUACAUGCAAGUCGAGCGAACGGACGAGAAGCUUGCUUCUCUGAUGUUAGCGGCGGACGGGUGAGUAACACGUGGAUAACCUACCUAUAAGACUGGGAUAACUUCGGGAAACCGGAUCUAAUACCGGAUGAUAUUUUGAACCGCAUGGUUCAAAAGUGAAAGACGGUCUUGCUGUCACUUAUAGAUGGAUCCGCGCUGCAUUAGCUAGUUGGUAAGGUAACGGCUUACCAAGGCAACGAUGCAUAGCCGACCUGAGAGGGUGAUCGGCCACACUGGAACUGAGACACGGUCCAGACUCCUACGGGAGGCAGCAGUAGGGAAUCUUCCGCAAUGGGCGAAAGCCUGACGGAGCAACGCCGCGUGAGUGAUGAAGGUCUUCGGAUCGUAAAACUCUGUUAUUAGGGAAGAACAUAUGUGUAAGUAACUGUGCAUAUCUUGACGGUACCUAAUCAGAAAGCCACGGCUAACUACGUG